rnacentral:tRNA from 1 species
UGCGCGGUGGCCCAAUGGUAGGGCUUUACUUUCCGGUCUUCACCGAAUUGGUAAGGGUUGCGGGUUCGAGUCCCGUCCGCGUAG